GCCGAAGUGGUGGAACUGGUAGACACGCUAUCUUGAGGGGGUAGUGGACCAACGUCCGUGGGGGUUCGAGUCCCCCCUUCGGCA
rnacentral:tRNA from 1 species